rnacentral:rRNA from 1 species
GACGAACGCUGGCGGCGUGCCUAAUACAUGCAAGUCGAGCGCAGGAAACUGACGGAACUCUUCGGAGGGAAGGCAGCGGAAUGAGCGGCGGACGGGUGAGUAACACGUAAGGAACCUGCCUCAAGGAUUGGGAUAACUCCGAGAAAUCGGAGCUAAUACCGGAUAGUUCAACGGACCGCAUGGUCCGCUGAUGAAAGUCGCUUCGGCGUCACCUUGAGAUGGCCUUGCGGUGCAUUAGCUAGUUGGUGGGGUAACGGCCCACCAAGGCGACGAUGCAUAGCCGACCUGAGAGGGUGAUCGGCCACACUGGGACUGAGACACGGCCCAGACUCCUACGGGAGGCAGCAGUAGGGAAUCUUCCACAAUGGACGAAAGUCUGAUGGAGCAACGCCGCGUGAGUGAUGAAGGUUUUCUGAUCGUAAAACUCUGUUGUAAGGGAAGAACACGUACGAGAGGAAAUGCUCGUACCUUGACGGUACCUUACGAGAAAGCCACGGCUAACUACGUGCCAGCAGCCGCGGUAACAC